rnacentral:misc_RNA from 1 species
GAUGAAGAACGUAGCGAAAUGCGAUAAGUAAUGUGAAUUGCAGAAUUCAGUGAAUCAUCGAAUCUUUGAACGCACAUUGCGCCCGCCAGGAUUCUGGCGGGCAUGCCUGUUCGAGCGUCAUUUCAACCAUCAAGCCCCAGGCUUGUGUUGGAGCCCUGCGGCUGCCGCAGCCUCCCAAAACCAGUGGCGGGCUCGCUAUCACACCGAGUGCAGUAGUUUACUCUUCGCUCAGGGCGUGUGGCGGGUGCUAGCCGUAAAACCCCCAACUUCUCAAGGUUGACCUCGGAUCAGGUAGGAAUACCCGCUGAACUUAAGCAUAUCAAUAAGCGGAGGA